GUCUGUUUUUACUCCUUUUUCUUUCUUUUUCCGUGGGCAAUUUUUUACCCCUUUUUCUUCAUUACCCUAAACCCAUUCACAUUUAAAUAGGACCACUGAAAAUUUUCUAUAAUAAUCUAACUCAAUUAUGUCAACUAUCCUACCAUAGUACAUGACAUCUCCAAGGAUAGGGUUAGUAUCACCUGCAGAAGAGUAGCUUGAUGUUUUUGCGGUCACAACAACUCCACUAUUCUGAGUCACUUUGUCAUAACGCUUGGGUCUAAAUCUAUAUCCACGGAUGCAAAAGGCCCUAUGUUUUCUUGCAUCUUGAAGUGGACAACGGGCCAACCAUCUAAGAUCUUCAUCAAUGCUGUCAGUACCUCUUUGCUGCUCCAGCCGCAUGAUCUACACCAAAGCGAAACAUACAUAAGCUAAGACUCAAAUUAAGAAAAAAAAAACAUAGCAUGGAACUUACAUGAUCUCUAAACCAAUCAGGAAAUUUUUCAUGCUGCAUCCUCUCUAUGGUACUAAGUGAUAGGCGACUGUUGCGAUUUCUCCUUUUCAAUUCCGCAGCAUGCGCUCUAAAAAAUGUUAAAUAUCAGUUUAAAUGAAAACAAUUAUUUAACAUGUUACCAAGCUAUGGCUGAAAAUUACUUG
rnacentral:lncRNA from 1 species